rnacentral:rRNA from 1 species
CGCCCCUAGAAACAACUUUGAUAAGGGGUAAUGCCUGCCCAGUGACAAAAGUUAAACGGCCGCGGUAUCUUGACCGUGCAAAGGUAGCAUAAUCAUUUGUUCUUUAAUUGAGGACUUGUAUGAAUGGCAAGACGAAAGCCUAACUGUCUCCCUCUUAAAAAAAGAAAUUGUUUUAUUUGUGAAGAAACGAAUAUAAAAACGUAAGACGAGAAGACCCUGUCGAGCUUAAGAAAAUUUUUAUAAAAAAAUUAUUAUCUGACCUUCAAUAACUAUUAUUAAAUAAAAAUAUCUUUGGUUGGGGCAACCGCGAAGAAAAAACAACCUUCGAUAAACAAAAAAAAUUAACAAAUUUAAAAAUUUUUAAAAAAUAAAAGAUCCAGAAAUACUGAUCAAAGAAAAAAGUUACCGCAGGGAUAACAGCGUUAUUCUCUUUGAGAGUUCUUAUUGACAAGAGAGUUUGCGACCUCGAUGUUGGACCGGGGCACCUUAGAGGAGCAAAAACCUCUAAAAGUAGGUCUGUUCGACCUUUAAAGCCCUACGC